rnacentral:rRNA from 1 species
CCCUAGUAACUGCGAGUGAAGCGGGAAAAGCUCAAAUUUAAAAUCUGGCGGUCUCUGGCCGUCCGAGUUGUAAUCUAGAGAAGUAAUGCCCGUGCUGGACCGUGUAUAAGUCUCCUGGGAUGGGGCGUCAUAGAGGGUGAGAAUCCCGUCUUUGACACGGACUACCAGUGCAUUGUGGUAUGCUCUCAAAGAGUCGAGUUGUUUGGGAAUGCAGCUCAAAAUGGGUGGUAAAUUCCAUCUAAAGCUAAAUAUUGGCGAGAGACCGAUAGCGAACAAGUACCGUGAGGGAAAGAUGAAAAGAACUUUGGAAAGAGAGUUAAACAGUACGUGAAAUUGCUGAAAGGGAAACGCUUGAAGUCAGUCGCGUUGGCCGGGGAUCAGCCUCGCUUUUUGCUUGGUGUACUUUCUGGUUGACGGGUCAGCAUCAAUUUUGACUGCUGGAAAAAGACCUGGGGAAUGUGGCAGCUUCGGCUGUGUUAUAGCCCCUAGUCGCAUACAGUGGUUGGGAUUGAGGAACUCAGCACGCCGCAAGGCCGGGUUUCGACCACGUUCGUGCUUAGGAUGCUGGCAUAAUGGCUUUAAGCGACCCGUCUUGAAACACGGACCAAGGAGUCUAACAUGCCUGCGAGUAUUUGGGUGGAAAACCCAAGUGCGUAAUGAAAGUGAAAGUUGAGAUCCCUGUCGUGGGGAGCAUCGACGCCCGGACCAGAACUUUUGGGACGGAUCCGCGGUGGAGCAUGUAUGUUGGGACCCGAAAGAUGGUGAACUAUGCCUGAAUAGGGUGAAGCCAGAGGAAACUCUGGUGGAGGCUCGUAGCGAUUCUGACGUGCAAAUCGAUCGUCAAAUUUGGGUAUAGGGGCGAAAGACUAAUCGAACCAUCUAGUAGCUGGUUCCUGC